CAGUCGCCGCGGUAAUACGUAGGGUGCAAGCGUUAAUCGGAAUUACUGGGCGUAAAGCGUGCGCAGGCGGUUAUAUAAGACAGAUGUGAAAUCCCCGGGCUCAACCUGGGAACUGCAUUGGUGACUGCAACGCUGGAGUGCGGCAGAGGGGGAUGGAAUUCCGCGUGUAGCAGUGAAAUGCGUAGAUAUGCGGAGGAACACCGAUGGCGAAGGCAAUCCCCUGGGCCUGCACUGACGCUCACGCACGAAAGCGUGGGGAGCAAACAGGAUUAGAUACCCCCGUAGUCCCUGUCUCUUAUAC
rnacentral:rRNA from 1 species